rnacentral:rRNA from 1 species
GACGAACGCUGGCGGCGUGCUUAACACAUGCAAGUCGAACGGAAAGGCCCCUUUGGGGGUACUCGAGUGGCGAACGGGUGAGUAACACGUGAGUAACCUGCCCUUGACUUCGGGAUAACUUCAGGAAACUGGGGCUAAUACCGGAUAGGAAUCCUUGCUGCAUGGUGGGGGUUGGAAAGCUUCGGCGGUUUUGGAUGGACUCGCGGCUUAUCAGCUUGUUGGUGGGGUAGUGGCUUACCAAGGCUUUGACGGGUAGCCGGCCUGAGAGGGCGACCGGCCACAUUGGGACUGAGAUACGGCCCAGACUCCUACGGGAGGCAGCAGUGGGGAAUAUUGCACAAUGGGCGGAAGCCUGAUGCAGUAACGCCGCGUGCGGGAUGACGGCCUUCGGGUUGGAAACCGCUUUCAGCAGGGGCGAAGCUUGUGGUGACGGUACCUGCAGAAGAAGCACCGGCUAACUACGUG